AUUGCUUCUCGGCCUUUUGGCUAAGAUCAAAGUGUAGUCUCAAAGUAAGAUCAAAGUGUAUCUGCUUUAUAGUAUCUGCUCUUUUCAGCAUAAUAGCUGAAAGUUCCCUCAUUGAGGGACCAGUAUACUAAACUGAUUUUUGUAAGACUUGUCACAAUUUUGAAAUAAAUUGCAUUGCGUCUUUCUUAAUGCUCUGCAAGCAAUGUAACACGAAUUAAA
rnacentral:snRNA from 1 species